rnacentral:rRNA from 1 species
UACGUAGGGUGCAAGCGUUGUCCGGAUUUAUUGGGCGUAAAGAGCUCGUAGGCGGUCUGUCGCGUCGGAUGUGAAAACCCAGGGCUCAACCCUGGGCCUGCAUUCGAUACGGGCAGACUAGAGUACGGCAGGGGAGACUGGAAUUCCUGGUGUAGCGGUGAAAUGCGCAGAUAUUGGGAGGAACACCGGUGGCGAAGGCGGGUCUCUGGGCCGUAACUGACGCUGAGGAGCGAAAGCGUGGGGAGCGAACAGG